AAUAUAGAAAUCAAGGAUAGCUUACCUUUAGGAAUUUAAUCUUUAGUGGGUGAAGCAAAUAAGUAAAGAAGCAUAUAAUAAGGAAUAGCAAAUGCUGUGAUAGCCACACACACAGAAGGUGUGGUGGAGGUAGUGAGAGGGUCAGUAAACUCAGACGAGGCAAGAGAAUGUCUAAACGCCGUCUUUAAGAACAAAAAGGUCAUAGCUCUAGGGGACAUGGAUAAAGGGACGUGUGUGGAAUAAGGGCUUGGGAUGGGUAUUCCCCAGGCGUGACGUGCUUGGAGAGUUGCUGUGUCCAGAGAGUUAAGCAGGUGAUUAGAUCGAAGGCUUUUAAGCAGGAAGAAGACAGUUAGAUAGAGUUGCAGAGAGAGCUGUUAGAAAAUUUAUAGUAAUUCAGGCAAGAUGAUGAGAGGCAAAACUGAGGCAGUAACAUUAGGGAAAGCAAAGAUGGAAGAACUUAAAAAUGUAGAGUAGAAUUAACUCAUCUUGUAGUCCCUUAGAUGUAAAGGAUGACAGGUAAGAAAGACCCAGACGACUCCCAGUUGUACUUUUUCCACCUCUUUGAAAGGUUGAACCUUAAGGGCAGAAUAUCACUCCCUGGGGAAAGCUGAUUAUGCCAGAAGUAUCUGCUGGAGAACCAAAGGUAAAUAACACUGUUAAUUCUGACAUGAAGGAUUUUGGGGGUACAACCAUGGUGUAUUGAAGUUCCUGGGCCAGAGGUCAAAUCUGAGCCACAGCUGUGACCUAUGCCAGAGAAGUGGCAACAGCCGAUCCUUAACCUGCUGUGCCACAAUGGGAACUCCAACAUGAAGGAUCUUAAAUGGGAGGCAGAGCCUUGAGAGAGAAGCAAGACGGGAAUGGUUGGCAACUUGUGAGAAAGCUGCAGGGGGUGGGGGUGCUGUUAGGAAUUGGGAGGUAUCCAGACAAAAAUGUGGCCACCACUUAGAAUGCGUGGUAAGUGAGCUGCACUGAACUGGUUUAAGACAUCUGGGUUGACUGAGUUGGACUCCUCCCCCCACCCCCCUCCCCCAGUCUCCUACUUAACCUUGGUUGCCUGUUGGAGUAAGGCCGUGCUUUCCCAGACUCACUUAGGGAGUUGUCAGGAUACUCUCUGAAGCAUUCUCGAGGUUUUCCCUUUGGCUCGUUUGUCCCAUACCCUUUCCGUCAUGCUAGUCUUCUCAGACGUUCACAGCAAAAGUAAGCUACUCUUGGAAGCAGUCUUUUUAGAAACGGACAAUAAAGAUGAACCCUGCUUUCCUGGUGGAUGCUGCAGUUGGGAUGGGUGGAUUGGGCCAUACAGGAGGGGACCAGAAGAGGUGUAUUAGUUCCUGAAACUGGGUUGCUGCUGGCUGUAUCACGAUCUUUGUUGAGCAAAGGACAGAAAAUGAGGCCUGGGAAACAUAUUUAGUUCCUGGAGAAGCAGCAGAAACUUGGGAAUAUCCUUGUAUUAAAUUAUUAGGUCAAGGAGUCCGUUUUCCACCUACAGAUUCACUAAUCUAGUAUAAUCUAGUCAGUUUAGGCUUCCUCAGUUUCUCCAAAUUGCUUCAGAGCUGCUCCUCUUGGUCACGUGGAACUUCCUAGCCUAGGAAUUUCUACAAAGCAGGGCCUGUGAGAAUAAUAGGAACUUAAUGCCUGGAAGGGAAUUGUCCUAAAAUGUCAAAAGUGCUUAUAUAUACUAAAUAUUACUACAUGAUUUAAAAUUUGGUUUCCCACAUAAAAUACAGUAAACAGUUUUUGUGCAGUUAAGUACCUUCGUGUUAAAUUCUACCUUAUAGAACCUGAUUUCCAUGGUUCUCUCCCAUGAACUUAUGGAUGCAAUGUUUAUUAUUUUAUAAGGUUUUAAAAAGCACUUCCCAACAAAACGAGUUUGAGAUUUAAGUGCUUUUGAAUUGGCCUAUUUAUUAGCUGGAUAACAGAAAGCAAACUAUGUAGUAUUAGCGAUGUAAAUUUGUAUUUUAGAAAACUAUCGAGUAACUAUGUCAUGAACUUUUCAGAAUAACUCAUCCCCAAACUGAAAUCUUACUACAUUUCAAAAUUUAAGGGUAUUCAUGUCCAAAUUCAGAGGAUAUAUCCAUCAAGGAAAUCAAUGAUACAUGGUUCAACCCUUGUUGGAGCUCAAGCAUUGCCAAGGCUACAGGCCUUUCUAGGGUAUUUCAGUAUCCAAACUAUUGUCAUUUUAGUAUGUGAUGAGUGUAAAAACUGUCAGUGAGCUAUUUCACAUUUUUGUUUGUUUUUCUGUCUCUGGUGUGUAUUUUGUAUGUAUAGCACAUCUGUAUCCAGACCUAGCCAUGUUUUAGGUGCUCAGGAGCCGUGUGUGACCAGUGACUAUGUACUGGACGUGCAGACCGAGAUGACUGAGGUUGACUUUCCACUCUAUCCUUAACGUGAUCAUUUUCCAAAGUCUUGUAAUUUCAACUUUGUAGAGACCUGAGUCUCUCAAAGUUAAUUUCGCUGCUACACAUGGGCAGAGUCGGUCCUAUUCUGUUACUGAAUCUGAGCUGAUUGUUCUGUUGUAAUCCUAUUGUAUAACCAGUAUAUAGCCUUUAUCUAGGUUUCCUCACAUCCCCAAAUCAGGGUGUAAGCCCUUGAGGAAGAGAGUGUCAAGUUUGUCUCAGCUCUGCAGCUAAGCUCUAGCUUCAUCCCCUCCAGUUCUCUUUCCUGCUUGAUUGGACUCUUGGCUCCUUUUGAAUGAGAAAACCACUCUUAUAUCCUUCUGCGUUCUUCCCAACUCUGGUUCAUAUAAUAAAUUACCUUAUUCAGCCAGGGUCUCAUCCUUGAUUUGCACAGCAAAGUUUAUAGAGUCCUAGAAGCCCUCUCUGCCUCCAGAACGUGGCUCUGACAAAUCAGAAGUCCUUUGGCUUUCAGGCUCUUGUCUCUUCCUUCAGCUUUCAAAAACUGGGGUGUCUGUUUCAUCCUCAUUGUCUCUCCCUACUGAAGGAGCAGCUGCCAGUGAGUCACUGAGUAGGUGGCUGUAAUCAACAAGGAAUGCAAGGAACGAAAAAUGUAGCAGUUAAUAAUUCAAAAAUAGUGUUUUAUUUUACGCACGUCGAUCACAAGAAAGCCACUUUGGUAACUGUAUGUGGGUAACGAUAGUCUCAUAGCGUUUUCAUUCUUCAUGUUGGUAAUCUUGAGAAGUCUUCAAACCAUGAAGAAGAGUGUGUGGGAGUUACUCGAACUAGAAUGCAGAGUAGACUGAAGUGGUUCGUUCAUUUGAAUGUACUUAUCAAACAUUUGACAGAUGUAAGAGAGUGUAUGCGACCCUGCAUACACUGAUGGGGAGAAAAGAUAGUUCCUGCCCUUAGGGAGCUUAUGGUUCAGAGUUCUUAGCAGAAGUUGGUCAUCAGCUGUGGUGUAGCGAACAUACAAAUAACGUGGGUCUCUUAAACCUAAGUUUUUCUUUUCCCUUCUGUUUUUAUUGAGAUAUAAUCAACAAACAGCACUGUGUAAGUUUAAGGUGCAUAGCAUAGGGAUUUGACUUCCAUACACACAUGAGUACCACAAGUUCAGUGAGCAUCCAUUAUCUCAUACAGAUGCAAAGUAAGAGUAAAUAAAAAAAUACCUACGGCCCUUGUGAUGAAAACUCUUAGGAUUUACUCUCUUAACUUCCCUUUACCAUACAUCAGUGUUAAUUAUAUCAACCAUGUUGUACACUACAUCCAUAAUAACUUACCUUGUAACUGGGAGUUUGUGCCUCUUGACCACCUUCUGAUCUGGUUCUUGAAUAAACAUUUGUGU
rnacentral:lncRNA from 1 species